rnacentral:rRNA from 1 species
GAGAGGUCAAGGCCACGCAGUCGUGCCCCGCGUUAGAGGCCGGCAGACACCUCGACGCAUCGCUGGACAGCCGUGUGUGUGCAAGGUGCAUGGACGCGGGCGCCGCUGGCGAUGCUGAUGAAAAGCAACGGCAGUUGUCGCUUGAUCCAGUGCAGUGCAGGAAGAAUUGAAGAACGCAUGGACAGAGCCGCCGGUCCAAGCGUUGGCCGUUGGUCGCUCCUGUGGACGCGCUGCCGGGAGCCCGCGGUCGCGCAUGGGUGCCGCCUUCCGCCGGGAACACCGCGUUGCCGCGGAAUAGCCAUUGAGGUGUGCGCGGCGCCAUGCGCUGCCUUUGCUAGCGCUGGAGCGUUGGCUUCCUUUGCCACGCAGGGCCAGAGGGCAUCGCGACGUUGCGCACUCGCUGCCGGCAGUUUGGCCGUGAAAUCGCUCCGCCAGAGGGCGUGCUGAUAACGUGUUAGAGUAGAACGAGAGAAGUAAUGAAAACGGUGUCCUCUUUAUUAGAUGAGAUCUGCUAUUUAUACAAAGGCUAUUUAUACAAGAGCGAUGCUAUACACACGACGAAAUUGCAGCCG